rnacentral:misc_RNA from 1 species
CUAGAGCUUUUUCAAAGCUCGGCUUCUGGAUAUUGGGAAGAAAGACCGCUCGAGGACGACGGCUGCGCGUGCGUCCCAUCGAAUUUUUUUUUAUACCACCUGAACGACUAAAGUUUCGUCUAGUUCGUUGCCUACCGUCGCAUAUAAUCCCGUUCAGAGGGGACCGCAGACUGUCUAUCCUCGUUGUCGUGAGUCGGACACCCGUGCCGUCGCUAGAGUUUUUUCAAAGCUCGGCUUCUGGAUAUUGGGAAGAAAGACCGCGCGAGGCCGAGGGUCGCGCGAGUCCCAUCGAAUCUUUACAUCACCCGAACGAUGGAGGCGCACGCUCUUUUUCUUGAAUAAUUGGACGAGAGGAAUGCGUAGUAUCGUAUUAUACACACACACACACAUAUAUAUAUAUAUAUAUAUGGGCUAGCCACCGUGCGUAUUUCUUCGCGAGAUCGUGUGCUGAACAGAGGAUUCAGAAUCGGGUGUUAUAUCCCCGUCGUUUCCUGACGAACGGAGCUUCGAUCUCGAU